rnacentral:lncRNA from 1 species
AUGUAUAAUGAUCUUGUAACUGAUGCAUCAGAACUGAAACACACUUUUUUUCUUUUUUAAAGAUUUUAUUUGUUUGUCAGAGAGAGAGAGAGAGAGAGAGCGAGCAGCUUGGCAAGGAGCCUGAGGCAGGACUCAAUCGCAGGACCCCGGGAUCACCACUUGAGCUGAAGGCAGAUGCCCAACUGACUGAGCCACCCAGGCACCCCUGAAACAAACUUUUAUCAACACCUGGCAAUACUUUCAGAUAAAUGGUGGGCAUGGUUAUUCACCGGAACCUCACGCCCUCAGAAGAAACUGAAGGGAGAGCAGGAUCCCAUUGGGGCUUCUGUUUGUUGAGUCAGGUUCUGGACGUAGAGGACCAGGUGCCACUGUGGCUAGACUUUGUGACUUCUUAUCUCAUAACGUGUGUUUCUCUCUGAAAAACUCUUAAAGUGGAAGGGGCUUAUAUUCAUCUUUGAAGAGAACAAGAAAGCAAGAACUGAAGAGAAUCCUGUUUUGGAGACAAAAAUCCCAAUAGAUAGGGCCAGCGGUGGCCACCAUUGAGACGAAAGCAUCCUUGGGACCCUCAGCAAAGAAGAAAGGAGAGUAUGGGAGCUGGUUUGCCUCUAAGGUAACAGAAGUAGAAAGUGACCCCCACGCCAUGGCCUGAGGGUUCCUGGUUGUCCCAUGGGGGAGUGGGGCAAGUCUUAUGUCACUUGGUGGUAGCCCCACACAAUACUUGGAAUAUGCCUAUCGAAUGCCCAGCAUUUCUUUCCUUUUUUUUUUUUUUUUAAGAUUUUAUUUAUUUGGCAGAGACAGAGAGAGAUCACAGGUAGGCAGAGAGGAAAGGGGUGAGAAGUAGGCUCCCUGCUGAGCAGAGAGCCCAAUGUGGGGCUUGAUCCAAGGACCCUGAGAUCAUGACCUGAGCUGAAGGCAGAGGCUUAACCCACUGAGCCA